CCCUGGGUAGUGUAAAUGGUUAACAUAUUUGGCUGCUAAGCAAAAGGUUAGAGGUUCAAGUCCCCCUAGAGG
rnacentral:tRNA from 1 species